AUUGAAAACAUGUAGCAGGCCCUGUUUACUUGGCUAUUUGCACAAGGGAGGUCUAGUAACUCUGUAGGAAAUAAUGAGCAUAAGUUGGCAUAUGUUGCUGAAGACGAAUUAAUUGGACUAACUACCAGCGGCUAUGCUGUUGCCGCUCCAGCGAAUAAGGCUUUCAAUGCAAGUAUCGGUGGUAAAAGAGGUAGAGUGAAGUAGACAAAACUUGGUGUACGUGGCUGGAGAAGGCGGACUCGUAGGAGAAGCGCCUGGAAGGCAUUAUUACGUCGGGCCGAAAUCCAGUAGGGUUGAUAAGACUAAUUUAAGAAACGAAAGAAAGAAACAAAGAAAGGGAAAAUAUCCGGUGUUGGCAAAACUUUAUAUUCAAAACUGUUGCGAAAGAAUUUAACAGUCAUUUUCUCUAAUGCGAUAUAUGUAUGUAUGUGAUAUAAUGAAAGGUAAAUUUAAUAUAUGCGAUAUGUGAGAAAAACAUCAA